AGCGAACGCUGGCGGCAGGCCUAACACAUGCAAGUCGAACGAACUCUCCGGAGUUAGUGGCGGACGGGUGAGUAACACGUGGGAACGUGCCUUUAGGUUCGGAAUAACUCAGGGAAACUUGUGCUAAUACCGAAUGUGCCCUUCGGGGGAAAGAUUUAUCGCCUUUAGAGCGGCCCGCGUCUGAUUAGCUAGUUGGUGAGGUAAAGGCUCACCAAGGCGACGAUCAGUAGCUGGUCUGAGAGGAUGAUCAGCCACAUUGGGGCUGAGACACGGCCCAAACUCCUACGGGAGGCAGCAGUGGGGAAUCUUGCGCAAUGGGCGAAAGCCUGACGCAGCCAUGCCGCGUGAAUGAUGAAGGUCUUAGGAUUGUAAAAUUCUUUCACCGGGGACGAUAAUGACGGUACCCGGAGAAGAAGCCCCGGCUAACUUCGUGCCAGCCGCCGCGGUAA
rnacentral:rRNA from 1 species